AAUUGAGCGCAAUUCCUUGCGUGGUAAGUUCACGCGCGCACGAAAGGCGUAACGACUUGGGAACUGUCUCAACCGCGUACUCGGUGAAAUUGCAAUUCCAGCGAAGAUGCUGGGUACCUGCAGCAAGACGAAAAGACCCCGGGAGCUUUACUGUAGCUUAGUAUUGGCUAUAGGACUCUAAUGCGUAGCAUAGAAGGGAGGCUUUGAAGCCGUGUUUUUGGAUGCGGUGGAGCCAUCAGUGAAAUACCUUUCUUUAGAGUUUUAUAAUCUAACCGGCAGGGCAAAAACCUGUCGGGACAGUGCUUGGCGGGCAGUUUGAGUGGGGCGCUCUCCUCCAAAAGCGUAACGGAGGAGUCCAUUAAGGUCGGCUAGCUCCGGAUGGAAAUCGGAGCGAUAGGGUAAAGCCACAAGCCGGCUUAACUGCAAGGCGUACAUGCCGCGCAGAUACGAAAGUAGGGCUUAGUGAACCGAUCGUGGUUUGUAGAAACGCGAAAGAUCAUCGGACAAAAGCUACCCCGGGGAUAACAGGCUAGUCGGGUCCAAGAGUCCACAUCGACGACCCGGUUCGGCACCUUAACAUAUCGGGGUGCAAUAUUAGUAAUGAUAUUCCUUGAAUAUAACCACUGUAUUCUAAAGAAAAAAUUGGCUUAUAACGGUGAACUCCAUGUGGUAAAAUAGCUAUAUGGACAAUACCGUGGGAAGUUUAACGAAGCUUGAACGACAAAUCGUUAUCGGUUCGCUUUUGGGUGACGGAUAUAUGAGAAUUAUACCCGGCAAGUCUAAUGCUUUUUUAGAAGUAAAUCAUUCUAUUAAAGCAAAGGAGUAUGUUGAUUAUAAAUUUGAGUCUUUAAGUAGACUCUGCGAAUCAUCUCCAAAAGAAAGAUCGACAAAUGAUGGCCGUGUUGCUUAUAGAUUCUUUACCAAACAACAUAAAGUGUUAACGGACUUGUAUCAUCAAUUUUAUCAGCAUGGAAGAAAAAUAAUUCCUGCCGGUCUAAUGCUUGAUCCCGUGACGCUAGCUGUUUGGUAUAUGGAUGACGGAAGUAAAUCUCGUGAUCGAGAUGUGUAUUUAAAUACACAGCAAUUUUCGGUGAAUGAUCAAAAGAGACUACUUCAUUGUUUAAGAUUGCUUGGCAUACAAGCAAGACUAAAUAAAGAUAAGCACUAUUUUCGAAUAAGAAUCAUGAAGGGAAGCAUCAAUCUUUUUAUGAAGAUGAUUGCCCCGCAUGUUAUUGAUUCGAUGAAAUAUAAACUCGUUAUAACCCCGUAGAGACUGUCCCCGUUUAGCGGGACGAGUGUUUUAAAUAAGAAACGCUAAUACGCCAACUCCUCAUCAUGGUUGAUUGCCAUGAGCGGAUGAAGAUAUAGUCCAUACUGUUAGUAAUAACAGAAAAAUAUACGAUGUCGGCUCAUCGCAUCCUGGGACUGGAGAAGGCCCCAAGGGUUUGGCUGUUCGCCAAUUAAAGCGGUACGUGAGCUGGGUUCAAACCGUCGUGAGACAGGUUGGUCUCUAUCUGCUGCAGGCGUUGAUAUUUGAAGAGCGUCGUUCCUAGUACGAGAGGACCGGAAUGACGGAACCUCUGGCGUACCGGCUGUCGUGCCAACGGCACCGCCGGGUACCUAUGUUCCGAAUUGAUAAGCGCUGAAAGCAUCUAAGCGCGAAGCAAUCUCUAAGAUUAGAUAUCGUUAUAGCUCCCUCGAAGAUUACGAGGUUGAUAGGCGACAGAUGUAAGCACGGUAACGUGUUGAGUCGAGUCGUACUAAUAGAGCGAAAUCUACUCAUC
rnacentral:rRNA from 1 species